rnacentral:rRNA from 1 species
UGAGGAAUAUUGGGCAAUGCCCGCAAGGGUGACCCAGCAACGCCGCGUGGAGGAUGAAUGUCGUAAGAUUGUAAACUCCUGUUAGAGGGGAAGAAUAGUACCGGUUGGACCGGUAUAUGACUGUACCCUCAGAGAAAGCCCCGGCUAGCUACGUGCCAGCAGCCGCGGUAAUACGUAGGGGGCAAGCGUUGUCCGGAUUUACUGGGUGCAGAGGGCGCGCAGGCGGGAUAAAAAGUCAGUGGUGAAAUCCUACAGCUUAACUGUAGAACUGCCUUUGAUACUUUUAUUCUUGAGUUCGGGAGAGAGAGACGGAAUUCCAGGUGUAGUGGUGAAAUACGUAGAUAUCUGGAAGAACACCAGUUGCGAAGGCGGUCUCUUGGUCCGACACUGACGCUGAGGCGCGAAAGCGUGGGGAGCAAACA